rnacentral:piRNA from 1 species
UGCAAGCCAUGGAAGCACCUUGAGUUCUUGA